AACUUUCCGCGUUCUUCCAGAUAAUUAAUCUAACCAAUCACAUGCGAGGAGGAAUGUAGACCAACCAAUCACAUCCUAGCGGGAGACCAAUCCGGAAGUAAAGGAAGGAGCUCCUGCAGAAUCCCAAAUCCGUCAUCAGACCCUGAAUAAGUGCCCUAACCGCAGCGCAGGGAGCAGAUCCUCUCUACAGGGAGCUGACUUCAGUCCCUACAUGUGCAGCUGCGGUUCGGGAUUCGGUCUCUCACACCGAGGAAGCGGGGAUAUUAAAGAUAUUAAAGAUAUUAAAGAUAUUAAAGCUGUUUAUAUCGUUAAACAUUUUCAGGUUGGAGUGGGCGUGGUCAGGAUGGAGUCUGCUGCGUUACCUCACUGGGAGAUGCUCCUGUACUGGUUCCUGUCCUUCAUCUCUCAUCUCUACUCCUUCUACCAGCUUCACCUGUUCUCUAAAGAGCAUGAGGAGAGCUUGGACAGAGACGUGCAGCUGGAGAAAGGCUUCUUGAUCCGGGGCAGUAAAAAGGAUGCCACCGAUUUUGAGUGGAGUUUCUGGAAUGAGUGGGCGUGGCGUUCUCUCCUCUGGUCUCUGAUUGGUCAUGCUGUGAUGUCACAGCUCACGAGUGUGUGUAUGCCUCAGUUGAGAAAGGCCGUCCUCACAGUGUACGGUGUUCUCUGUGCCUGGUGGCUCCUCGGCUGGAGGGGCGUGGCUGUUCUAAUGCUUCACCUGAGUGUUUCAUUGGCUGUUGCUCAGCUGCAGAACCCCGCCCUUUCCUGGGGCUGCACUCUGUUACUGCUCUCUACGCUACACAUCAGCAGUGUGCAAGACAUACAGCGAGGCUGGUACGACUCAGAUGAGCACUAUUAUCUCCUGAUGUUCAGCAUCGCAAUGUGUGUGUUACGCUGCGUCAGCUUCAGCCUGGAGCUGUGCUGGAGCCCCCUGCAGGACGGAGGAACAAACCGAUGUUUCUCUUUUCUGAACUUCAGAAAAUUUCUAACACAACUCUACAACCUCGUCUCGUACUGUUUCUACCAUCCACUGUUCUACAACGGACCCGUCAUUAACUACAACCACUUCAGCCAACAGAUGGACAGUGCGGUGUGUACAGCGUCACCGGCGUUGUUGUUGGUCCAGACUUUGCGUGUUUGUGUGUGGUGGUGUUUAGCUGAGCUUAUGAUCCACGUCAUGUACAUGCACAGCAUCCAGAACAACGAGACCUACCUCACCAUGCUUCCAUCCUGGGCUCUGGGAGGUCUGGCUCUGGCUCUUGUACAGUUUUUCUAUGUGAAGUAUUUGGUGUUGUUUGGUGUUGCGUCUCUGCUGAUGAAGUUGGAUGGUAUUGAGCCUCCUCCACUGCCCCGCUGUGUGAGCACCAUGUACAGCUUCCGAGGGAUGUGGAGGCACUUUGAUGUGGGACUUUACAGAUGGCUCAUCAGGUAUGUGUACGUUCCUUUGGGUGGGUCUCAGCACGGGCUUUUCCAGAAGCUUAUCUCCAUGGCGAUGACGUUCAGCUUUGUGUGUUUGUGGCACGGUUGCCAUGACUACCUGCAGUGCUGGGCCCUGCUCAACUGGGUGUGUGUGUUAACAGAGAACAGCAUCACACUCUUCCUCUGCUGGCCUCCUCUUCAUCACACCAUUGCAUGUUAUCUGUCUCCGCCCAUGAGGAGGCGUGGCCUUGCGCUUAUCUCUGCCUUUUCCACAGCUAUGCUAAUUCUGUCCAAUCUGGUGUUUCUGGGAGGAAUUCACAUUGGCCGUGUGUAUUGGGAGAGGGUGUUCAUGCAAGGCUGGUCCUCCAUGGCGGUUCCUGUGCUUGGGUGUCUGUACUGUUUUGCGCAGGUUGGACUGGAGAUGGACAGUAAGAAGACGUGAAGACUGAAUUUUAUCUCAUUAUGACUGAGUAGACUGGUGUAGCGAGACAGGUGGGGAGUGAAGGUCUGGAGUUUCGAUGUCUCAGACGAUGUCCUUCAGGUGUGUUGCUGUCGACUGUGAUGUGUUCAGUCUACACAUGCUACUUCUGAGAUGCCAGUGAUCCUGACCCCUUCUGCUCUCCAGACCUGCCUGAUCCAUCCUGAUGCCCUACUUCUGGUUAGAGUUCUCAUCAAAUGGAAAUCACUUGCUGCUGCUGAGGAUGGCCCCAAUUGGACAGCCUGGAGAUCAUUGAGAUUACUGUGGAUGGUAUGACUUAAAAAUCAUGAAGAUGGCUUUGGACCACAAUUCAUAAGAGCAGUUAUGCUAUGAUGGCUUAGGACUACAAUUGCUAUGACUGCUUUGGGACUGCAAUUCCUUUGAACAGUUUUGCACUCAAGUCUCCAUCAGUGAAAAGUUUGAUAACUUCAACAAAACAGACUUCAUGUGAAAAGUAUACUAAAUUUCCUGGUUACACAACUGCACUAUUACACAUAGUACACAGUUAUAGAAGGGAUUUAUUUAUUUAUUUAUUUAUUUAUUGCACUAUCUUUUGACAACCAGAUGAGGAUGGUUCCCUUUUGAGUCUGGAUCCUCUCAAGGUUUCUUCCUCAUAUCAUCUCAGAUAUGAUUAGGGAUAAAUUCAUACAUUUAAAAUUUAUAUCCUGAAUGUAUUUACUUCUGCAAAUCUGGUUUGUGGUAAAAUUAAAUUCAAAUAAAAUUGAAUUGAAUUGUAUUCCAGUUUCCCCCCAUCUGCCCCCACCAUGUGAAUGGUAAUCUCAAAUGUGCCUAUGUUCAUCAAAAAUGAGGUGAUAAUGUAGGAGUUAGCUGGCUUCUGGAAGUUCGCCAGCCCCAUGAAAACGAUUUCGCUUGGCUGAAAGAACUCUGUAGUGAAGCACAUCCUGUCUUUUUGUAGGUAGGUUUUCAUGUUUCUAAAUAAUCAUGAAGAGACACUGAAUGUAAAUUUCGAAUGCAAUUACAGUGACAGCAGAUACACUGUUUACACCACCACUGAAAGUCUGAUAUUCUUUGAGUGUGGGGACAUCGGGCACAAAAGGUCUGUCUGCCUGCACAGAUCUGUGCAGCCGUGGAGCUCAGGGCGCGAGUUACAGCAGCAGCAGCAGCAGCAGCAGUGUGCGUGCAGUCAGUGGGAGAACAUCGGGGAGCUCGAACCUCGAGUGAAUGACUCCCAGAGCAGUGACACACUGGAGCCAGAGAUGCAAGAGGUCAGUGAGGAACCAAACAGUAACACUGAGACAAACACUUUACUCAAUGCUAACACCUGUGUUGAUGCUGAUACUGUAAUUAACAUCACUGGCAGCGAAAAUAGCAUUAGCACUAGGCUGAUGCUGAUGCAGGAGUUAGCGAUACCAGUGACCCCUGCCUUAGUGUCUGCACUGAGGAUGUCGUUGACCCUGUAAAACAGCAGCAGGAGAACCCACACAGCUCACACAGGAUCACACAGAGACUAAGAAACACCACAGAGGUGAAGGACAACAUAGUAGAGCUGAGGACAGGAAAAAAGAAAAAAAAUGAACAUUAUUGAUCUCUAAACAAAACUGAAAACAGCAGUGAAUGAAUCAGUGAAUGUUGUGAUGCAGGACAGUGAAGACCCAGUGUGCAGUACAGGAGCUACGGGUGAAGAACAGCUCACACUCGUGGAGGGCAGAGACAUCAGACAAGCCAAGAUUUUCUGACAGUUCAGACAGAUGAAGCCCUGUACACCACAGCACAGAUAAUCCGCUUUUUAGAACUGACAAAAGGUAAAAGAAACAUAUCACUCUCAAGCUAUUUUCCAGAUAAUGCAAAAUUUGUUAAAUCACAACACACUACAGAAAACAGAAAUUUGAAAGUACUCUCAGCAUGCAGAUUUAGACUCAGAAAAUGGACAUCAGUGAAAGACUCUAAAAUGGACUCAGUGAAAGACUCUACUUUAAACUGGAUUAUAGACUUUCACAUGGAUUUAGAGAUUGAAAUCGGACUGAAGACUGAAGGGGUUUGGGGCUUUUUGUGUGGGAGGGUGUGAUGUGUGGGGUCUAAUGGGUCUUUAUAAUGUGUAAAUAUGUAAAUAUGCAAAACUGAUGCAUUAAGGGUAUCUUAAAAAGUAAAAAAAAAAGUCUUUCUCUGUCUCUCUUGAUCUCACUCUCUUUCUGUUUCUCUCUCUCAUUAUUCCUCAUCUCUGAUUUCACAGUGUAUUGUGUAUUUAAUUAGAUUAGUUGCUAGCUUCCAUGAAGCAUCUCCGUCAUUACUCACAUGGAGGUACGUGUGUGUGUGUGUGUACAUGAGCUGUGUGAACACAGUGUAUUUAGAUGUUAAAUGGCUCAGCAGCACAACACUUGCACAAUGACUCUAAACCCCACCCCCUGUCUUUACAUCACGCCUCCUUCACUGGGACUGACAGAUACAGAGGUCAUGCCUCCUUCACUGGGACUGACAGAUACAGAGGCCACGCCUCCUUCACUGGGACUGACAGGUACAGAGGCCACGCCUCCUUCACUGGGACUGACAGGUACAGAGGCCACGCCUCCUUCACUGGGACUGACUGGUACAGAGGCCACGCCUCCUUCACUGGGACUGACAGGUACAGAGGCCACGCCUCCUUCACUGGGACUGACAGGUACAGAGGCCACGCCUCCUUCACUGGGACUGACAGGUACAGAGGCCACGCCUCAGAUUAUUAUAGUGCAUAGUAAUGUGAAAUACUGACAUGCAGUUUAAUUUUUCCCAGUUUCUAUUUGUAUCUAAAUAAAUAUUUGUGUGUGUGUGUGUGUGUGUGUGUGUAAAUGAACUGUUAAAGCCAGU